rnacentral:tRNA from 2 species
AUUUAUAUAGUUUAAUAAAACAUUACAUUUUCAUUGUAAAAUUAAAAUAAUAAUUUUUAUAAAUA